CUUCUAUGCUACAUGUACAAAAAAUGGAACAAGAGGAAGACCUCUGAACUGUGUUUCAGUGAUAUAUAGUGGAGAUUUAAUCCAAGAAGCUCAGAUAAAAAUCAUGAUUUCAUGUUUAUUAAGUAUGAAAGACAGAUGUGUUGAUGGCAUUCUCAGAAUUUCUAGAAAAAUCCUUGGCAACCAAAGAAUGAGAUAACGAUGAGUCUACAAGGCACAAAGCUAACAGAAGAGGACUGCUUCACACACUCCAAAGAAUAACAUGAAACAGUAGUCAGUCAUCUACAUUUCAAAGUACUAUGUUUAUCAGUCUGGGUUUAGGUUUAAUUUUUUCAGCAGCCUACAGAAAGAACUAUUUAAUUUGAGAAUGCAAAGAUGUUGCAGGGAAUUCAAACCUGAAUCACUGCGUAAACUGUUCCCAAUUUUACUCUUUCUCACUUCAAAUCUUGCUUAAUUAACUUGUAAAUCAAUAAAGAAAUAAAGCAUGAAUGUACA
rnacentral:lncRNA from 1 species